GGGGACGUAGCUUAGUAUGGCUUAAAGCGAUAGAUUGUCGAUCUAUAGAUCGUGGGUUCGAAUCCCAUCGUCCCCGCCA
rnacentral:tRNA from 1 species